GACAUCUGUUUUUUUAGGCUUCUGAAAUCAGACAGAAUGAAGUACUUUAUCAGGAAGAAUUUGGCUCCGUACUGCUGUAAGGCAUUCAUACAACCACUGUUAUGGCAACUACAGCAGCUGUUUAUGUAGAAAAAUAAACUGCAGAGUAACUUCAGUGAUAUUCUGGAUUGCAUCUGUAUGCAGUGAAGAAAUCUUCACCACUGGACCAGACAGAUUUUCCCGGAGCGAUAACAAAUAUACCCGGAACCAGCUGUGAUCUGAUAAAUGCUCCACAAAAAAGUCAGUUAUUGGAACAAAAUUUGGAAGGAAGAGUGAGUGAGCAGCCGGGAGAGAAUGAGCAAGCAACUACCUGGUGCUUAGUUCGUGGCUGGGUUAAGCCAUGGCAUGAAGAUAAGUGUUUAGUCCGCCCAAUGGCCUGAAAAUUUGGAAGAGAUGAAGGACAUAGAAUGAAGAAUUUAUGAAUGCUUCCAGCACCCUUCCUAAUUUCAUUUUGCUUACACAAGACUAGUGUAUAAUUGUUUUCAGAGUGACAUAUGGUCAUGGUCCUGGUCAGGUUAUGAUAUGUGUGACAGUUAUAUAAAUAAGGAUCUGAUAUUACAUGGCUUUAUUUUAUGUAUAGACACAGACAUAACUUUAAGGAGUGUUUAAGUAGAAAGUGGAAACAUAUGGCAAUGCCCUUUUAGUAUCUUCCCAUCCAAUAAAACCAUCUGGAUAUUUAAGAACAGCUUUUAAAACAAUUGCAAUUUUUUAAAAUUAAUGUAAUAACAGGGGAAAUCUCAUGAUUUUGAGAGGUGAAGGAGAAAGGAAGAAAUAGAUUGCCUGUUUUCAAUGCAACCUAAAGAAAUCCUGACUGAUGUUCCUGCAUAGCUGCUGAGUUACCAGGAGGUAACUACCCCAUUGCCUUCAUGCCAUUUGAAUAGAAAGAAAGAAAGAGAAGAAAGCAAAUGGCUAAUGAGCUAGAUAAAGAUAACAAUCCAUCUUUGUUGGAUUACUUCUUUAUUAUUAUUAUUUUAAAUUUAGAUAAAUAGGUUUAAAUUUUAAAAUGAGCAUAAGCGAUAUCCCACAUCAAAGCCCCCUCUCAUUUUCUGAGAAUGAAAGGGAUUGCUGUGGAAAUGUGUAAAGUACCAUCUCCAAAAUAUGAGGUGCAGAAGAAAUAAACGCAAUCUUCCAAUACAAUAAGUGUAAAAAAAAAUUAAUUCAAAUUUAAAGAAAUUUUAAAGCAAUAUAUUUCUAGGAGUAAUUUCAUUUAUAAAACUGUGGUCUUAAUAUAAUGCCUUGUCUAUGGUCAACACUUGGACUGAGGCAGUCCUAAGGAAAGAUACAGGAAGGGGGUUUUGCAGAAAUUGUGUUGAAAACAGGGUUGAUAACUGAAAUUCCAAUUUCAUAUUGGAAUUCACCCAUCUACCACUUAAAGAAAGCUGUGGUUU